rnacentral:lncRNA from 1 species
AUGCCACUAGCUGCAAGUGAAUGUGUCCUACUCCUGUGGUUGUUGCAGAUACCAGGGUUAGCAAAUUUAUUAACUUCAACCCUUCAUUAAUGCAGAGUGGAAAAGCAAUUUAAUUCUGUGAUGCGAAAGUAGAAUCAACUUCGGAAGGACCCUAGGAGAGCCUGGGAAGACGCUUUCCACAAUUGUGUGAGGUUAACAGACAGAGACGUAUGUUUUUUGGGGAAUGCAUCAGUUUGUC